AAUGCCUGCCGUGGGUGGGAGUGGGUAAGAUUAUUUAUUUUAUAAAAAGGUAGAGCUAAGUAUGGAGAAAAUGAUCACAGGAGAAAACAUGGACCCUUUGGAGAAAAUAUGGGGGGGGGAAUAAGGAAAGACAGUGUGAAAGGCAUAUGUAUGGCAAGCACUUGGGGGCAUCAGUGAGGACUGACAACAAGGGUCAUAAUGAGCAGCAAUAAGCUCAGCAGGAUUGGUGGCCCUGGACUAUUAGCACAUUUACAGUUUUCAUCAUUGUUUGCAGCAGGUUAGAGCUGCAAUUCUUUUUUGUUUGUUUGCUCUCAGAUGCACAGCACUGACACAUCAGGCGCAUAGCAGCUGGUGUCAUGACUGUCAGCACAGAGGUAGACCUUCCUGUGUGAUACCACUUGACAUGUGAGACAAGAGGCUCAGAGAAGAAGGAUGGAUAUUUUAAAGUUGGCAUCACAGAAGACUCAGUACUGGAUCUCAGCUGUCACAAAGAUGGUGUGGGUAUGGAGCAAAGUGGGACGCCAGGAGGAGCCAUGCUGUGGAUGGAGGAAGGAUGCAAGUGAAGCACAGCUUCAUAAUCACACAAGGCAUUCCAUCUAACAACAUCAUAUGCUGGUUCUCACUAACCAGGUAGGUACCAGGCAGCAUCAAGGAGCAUUUGCUGAGCAUCCUUUGUGUUGGCCAAUGAGUGAGAUAAGGGGAGCCAUCAAAUCCAUAUGAGAAAUAAGCCUUAAUGACAACAAUUUGUCAGACACUGUUUCCAUUCAUUCAUUCAUCAACAUUUGGGUGCCAUUGAGAGAAUGAAAUGAUUUAACCCAUCUCAUUCAUCAUCCAAACCAGGAAACAAAUUGUAAAAGUCAUGCUUUUCUAGAUUACCUGACAGGGGAUAUAUGAAGCUGUGGAGGGAACAGGGAAGACAACAGGCUGUAUGUCAUCUUCCAGGCAGCUGGAUGAUAGGAACACACAUAUCCUGGCUAAUGGUGGGUAAAACCUUCAGUUAUUCAGGACUAUGUACUUACACCCACAGUUGCAAGGAACAACAGCACAAGAAAAUGAGACAAAUAACUAAGGCCACACUCUGUAGCAUUUACUCAACAAACAAUACGUACUUAAUUUAGGCCAGAACUAUUCAAGGGGUUUGGGGAGUUGAGAGGUAGGUCCUGUUCAGACCACCAGGCUGGUGAGCAACAGAACGGAGACUCCAGCAGAGCUCUUGCUAAUUGGAAGAGCCUGGGCUAUGUUGUUUCCAAGCACCUAAUGACAAAUCUCUUGGUUUCUCAUCCCUUCAGCUGCCUACUCUGCAGUAAAGUCUUCUCCAGUCACAGCGGCUGGCCCAAUGGCCUCCUCAGACAGACUUUGAACUAAGGCAAUCUGCAUCUGGGCCAUCAGCCAGUUCUUGAGUCCUUAGUCAAUGUGGGGAAAGCACACAGGCGAGGAAGUAAAAAAAUUGUCUUAAGCAUUUUACAGAAAUGGGGAUACUGAGCAU
rnacentral:lncRNA from 1 species